rnacentral:rRNA from 1 species
GAUGAACGCUGGCGGCGUGCCUAAUACAUGCAAGUCGAGCGAACAGAUGAGGAGCUUGCUCCUCUGACGUUAGCGGCGGACGGGUGAGUAACACGUGGAUAACCUACCUAUAAGACUGGGAUAACUUCGGGAAACCGGAGCUAAUACCGGAUAAUAUAUUGAACCGCAUGGUUCAAUAGUGAAGGACGGUUUUGCUGUCACUUAUAGAUGGAUCCGCGCCGCAUUAGCUAGUUGGUAAGGUAACGGCUUACCAAGGCAACGAUGCGUAGCCGACCUGAGAGGGUGAUCGGCCACACUGGAACUGAGACACGGUCCAGACUCCUACGGGAGGCAGCAGUAGGGAAUCUUCCGCAAUGGGCAAAAGCCUGACGGAGCAACGCCGCGUGAGUGAUGAAGGUCUUCGGAUCGUAAAACUCUGUUAUUAGGGAAGAACAAAUGUGUAAGUAACUAUGCACGUCUUGACGGUACCUAAUCAGAAAGCCACGGCUAACUACGUG